UACGUAGGUGGCAAGCGUUGUCCGGAUUUACUGGGCGUAAAGGGAGCGUAGGUGGAUUUUUAAGUGAGAUGUGAAAUACUCGGGCUCAACCCGAGAACUGCAUUUCAAACUGGAAAUCUAGAGUGCAGGAGAGGGAAGUGGAAUUCCUAGUGUAGCGGUGAAAUGCGUAGAUAUUAGGAGGAACACCAGUGGCGAAGGCGACUUUCUGGACUGUUACUGACGCUGAGGUAUGAAAGCGUGGGGAGCAAACAGG
rnacentral:rRNA from 1 species